ensembl:lncRNA LINC01603 long intergenic non-protein coding RNA 1603
GGGGAAAAAAUGAGGAGUGGAAAAGCUCGAUUUAACCUUUAAGUACAGAUAACUAUCAGGGUAUGAAAAGGCAAGAAAACAUGACAAAAUGAAAGGAUUAUUGAUGGGCAAUAAAGGAAGCGUAGUAGGUUUACCUUGAGAUUUCACUGAGCUAAUAUACUGGCUCCCAUUUCUAUGUUUAUUGUAGGAAAAAGAGAAAAACACUAAUCCAGGGAUAGAGCUGACUAGGGAUGCCCAAGUCAAAAAGACUUUGUAGCACUGGGCUUGGCAGAGGGUCCUGAAGCUAAAUGCAGAAAACUGCGGGAAAUGUCUUCAACUGGGGCUAAAGGUCGUAAGCAAGGACAAUGAACCUGGAAUUUGGAGGAAUUCAUACUCCAGUGAAGAAUUUCCAGACCCCUCAUGAAAAUAGCAGAUUGCCUACUCACCAGAGAAUACUCAAGCUGAAACUAAGCAGCCCCUGGAGGGUAAUAUAGGAAGUGGCUUCCUUGUACCUCUAGAAAUUGAACUCUCAGAACCUGACUGACAGUCUGCUCUUAAGAACAUUACCUCAAUCUGGAGAGAAAUGUGUGUUUCCUCUCCUAUAUGGAUUUCAGACAGAAGCAGAAGGAGGCUUAGAGGUUCUUCGUCACAAGUUGCCAAAAUGAAACAGAACUGUGAAAAGAAAAUGGAGAUGCUUCUUCAGGAGGUGCCCGUGAUGUGAUUUACUUGAUGAUUAUGGCCUGCAGGGUAUUGAGAUGGGAUUAUGUAACUUAAAUAAACUGGAUAUGAGUAGAGAUCUGAAAGAUUUUUCAAAAACA